rnacentral:rRNA from 1 species
UACGAAGGGGGCUAGCGUUGUUCGGAAUUACUGGGCGUAAAGCGCACGUAGGCGGCUCGGUCAGUCAGGGGUGAAAUCCCAGGGCUCAACCCUGGAACUGCCUUUGAUACUGUCGAUCUGGAGUAUGGAAGAGGUGAGUGGAAUUCCGAGUGUAGAGGUGAAAUUCGUAGAUAUUCGGAGGAACACCAGUGGCGAAGGCGGCUCACUGGUCCAUUACUGACGCUGAGGUGCGAAAGCGUGGGGAGCAAACAGG